CAUCAUUUCUGCCCCAGGAAGACUGUCUCCUACCUUUGGACCGUGGAUCGGAUAAAUGGUGCCCUGGCGUCACAAAGUGAUCAAGAGUGGUUUUUGCCUGUGCGUUGAGAGGUUAACCAAUGCACUACGUUAAUUCCCAACACAUGGCUUGAGAAAGAGAUACAGGCCAAAAGUCUGAAGAAUCAUGACUGACAAGAAUAGGAAUUGUUCAGACUGAAUGACAUGCUUUGGCUUCAAAAACUGCAUAACAACUUGAACAUGGGAAUACAACCUGACUCCUACUCCCAUCUCUACCUCAAAGAAGCUUGUUGCAUCCAAAAGUAAAUUAUUCUAUACUUCUUGCCAAGUGUUAUGUUCUUCUAACCUAUAUUUGUUGACUGUUUUGUCAAGUGAUUUGGAGCAUCUUCAAUGUAAUUGGCAGCUGUCAAUCCACCAC